rnacentral:lncRNA from 1 species
AGAUGGUACUAUUGCUCGCAGUGAGAUUGCUGGAGUUUGAUUGACACAUAAAUAUGGGUCUCAAUGAGCUCUUGUAGUGGAUAUUGACGAUAGUUGAUCUACUAUAGGAGUAGGGUACGCAUCAAGAUAGGAUCUAUCAACUUUGAUAGAGAGGAGUAGUCCUAUGGGAUUUGAGAAGCUAAGUCCAUGAAUCUAUGAUCACAGUAGAGUGAUUGAUGGAAAAGAGUUUUCAUAGACAUCACAUCUGGAUUUGAGCUAAUCAAAUUUAUCAUAUGACUGAUGUUGAGGUUUGAUGAUUUAUCCAUGACCUGCCAUCUAGUCGGGACUCAUGAUAAAGGAACUGAAUCACACGUUAACUAUACCUAGAGGUUUAUUUCAGUUCUAGUGGGUUGCCACUAUAUACUGCUAUGUGUCACUGA